rfam:Beta vulgaris subsp. vulgaris Bvchr7.sca001.con0009.1, whole genome shotgun sequence.
UUACCCGCUUGUAAAAUUUUUACAUAUUAAAUAUAAUCAAUGGGAACAGAACUCUCGUGUGGAACAGAAAGGUAAAAGUGUGUUUGAUUUUGAUUUUCAGUACGAAUACGAACUGUGAAAGCGUGGCCUUGUGAUCUUUUAGACCUUCGAAAUUUGAAGCUAGAG